ACGUUUGUGCCUACUGUUUUUUUUUUUUUUUUUUAAAUAUCUAUAAUUUAUUUUUAAAAAGGAGAUCCCUAAAAAAACAAAACUAGCAGGCAGGAGGUGUGAUUAACUUACCUCGAAAUGUUAUUGAUGAUAGGGGUGAAAAAAAUUCUAAUUUGAAAAUCAUUUUAGGUUAUUGAUGAGAAAGGUUGUUACUAUUGAGUGCACCCUAUUUUCAAAUUUUAAUUUGACAUUUUUUUUUAAGUUUUUCACAAGAGACCCUAUUCUAGACAAUUACCAACACUUUUAACACCUGGUAAAUUUGUUUUAGAAUUUGCUUUUGCAGUUAGGAUAUAUAAGUAUAUAUAGUGGGCACCCUAACUCUUGGUUCGAAACACAUUUACAAAUCAUAAAAGGUAUAUGUUACAGGUGGAUGAAAGGUUUCAGCUGGAGUUUUUGGCCGGAGUGAAAAACCAUUAUGUUGAAGCUGUUACUCAUGUUAUCAGAAAGUCACCCCUAAUAUUGAAACCACUUCUGAAGAAUUGCCGUUGCCUCCAGCCAGAAGAAAGGGUUUUACACCGCAGUUGUCGAGACAUUGUUGCUCUAGCAAAGGGUCUGCCCAUUGUAAUUGAUGAAAGUAUUCUGUUAUAUGAAUGGAAACUACUCCAGUGUGAAAAGGAAAGUGUGUGUGUAGUGGCCGUAUAGAUGACUACCGGGCUCAGUUUUUUGUUUUGAAGAACAGCAUUGGUGAUGUUAAAUACCCAAACGUUGCUAAAGUUGUAAAAUCUGUUUUGGCUCUUUCACACGGAAAUGCUGACUUAGAGUGAGGGUUUUCUUUGUCCUCCCACAUCUUAACUCAAGACAAAGCUUCCAUGUCGGAAAGAACACUCAAUGCAGCAAUGACUGUCAAGAGUGCAAUAAUGAAGAUGUACCACAGCAAGCCUGAUUUGGUUCCCAUUACAAGAGAGCUAUUAGCAAUGGCUCGUGUAGCUCAUAGUGCUACCUUACACACUUGCAAAAUGAGAAGGCUCUAAAAGAAGAAGCAGCUCGGAAGAAGUUGGAAACAGAUGAAAAUAAAUUAGUGGAAGCAGCAGAGAGAAUACAAAAACUGAAAGAUGAGAGAAAGAUAAUAGCUGGCGCUGAGAACAAAUAGAAGAGUUUGCAAAGUGAAGAGCAGCAAAAAAGAAAGACUGCAGAUGUACUUUUUGAGGAGUGAAUAAGAGAUUAAAGAGGGCUGAAGAAAAGAAAGAUAUGCAGGAAAUUGGAUUGGCCCAGGCCAUGUUGAAAGGUGUUAACAGUCAGAAAAGAAGCUGCAGAGAAGAAGCUUGAGGUUGAUACUGUACAACACUCAGUGGAGAAAAGGAAAUAUAAAAUUAUUUCUGACUAUUUUUCAAAAUACUCAAAAAAUUAGAUGUUUUGUGUUGAUGGAGUGUUGUGACAUAAGUUUGUUGAUGUUGAAAUGUUCUUAAAUUGGACUAGAUACAGUUUUGUAAUGGGCCUAUGGUGUCUUCUUAAUUAAUAUAAUUCUUAGUUCAUUUUAUAAGACAAUAUAAAAAUGUUAAUCUUGACCGAAUUUUCAUGGAAACCACUUUUAAGUCACAGUUUACACAGUUGACUUUUCUUUCACCAUCUUACGUAUGUGAAUAAUUUGUUUCUUUUAAUUUUGUGCUACUGGUGCAUAAUUUGUAACUUGUGUUUUUAAAUAGUUAAUAGAAUAACUGUCAGUAUUUUAUUAGAUCCAUAUAUAACCUAACAUUUUAUUUUACUACAAUCAGAAAUUUUUUGUAACAUUUAUUUCAGUUAUAUUUCAGAUCACCUUUUUAGUCACUUAUUUUCCUGGAGAUCACUUUUUUCUCACUUUUUCUAUCACAAAGGUCACUUUUCUCACAUUUUUCCAGUGAAUAAAGCACUUUGAGGCCUGAUAUAGGUACUGCAAGAAUCGUCCCCAGAUUCUCGGAGCACGUGGGACUGGCCUGCAUGAUAUCCCGAUAUGAAUCCCAUAGAGCAUUUGUGGAAUAGUGUAGGGAGACAUGUUAGGAGCCGUCACCAUCCUCCUCCUAGUGACUUAAGUCAGCUUCAAAUUGCUCUUCGUGGACAAUGGGAUGCGGUGUCGGUGGAGUUCUUAUUCAAAAUGUAAUAACUUCAAUGCCUGACUCGCUUAGUGCCAUUCGCCGUGCAAGAAGGGGUUAUACCCGUUAUUAGGGGCCAAUACUUGUCAGGGAACCUCGUGAAAACGAAUUAUCAGUUUUUAAAUAAAGUGUGAAUUUCGUAUUUUUGUCAUUUGUAUUUAUUUGUAUAGUAUUAUUAAUAAAAAGUAUUUGUGAUGAACUUUGUUUAAACAACCUAUAAAAAGAAACUAAUUUGUACCAAUAAUAAAAAUAAUAUAUAUAUUUAUUAUAACUAUAAGGAGAAAUCAGUGACUCCUUUUUUUUUAUUUUGCUAAAAUAAAAAAAAUUUGUGAUGAAAUGUUAACUGUUAAGUCUUAGAUGUUGAACCAGCUCAAUGAGGUUUAGGUUUGAUUGUAGGAAGUAUUUGCAGGCUGAUUUUUUUUUUUGUUUGAGCAAAAAUAAAUAUACAUAUACUUAAUGUUAUAAUAUGUGUUUUUUAAAAAUGUUGCAGUUUAAUAUUUUAGUAAUGUCAUAGAAGUAUAAAUUAUGUGUGUACCUUAGUACAUACUUUCAUUUCUUGAGAAAUCAUUAGUACCAUCUUGUUAAACAGAAUUAUUGUUGGUUUAUAAAGUGGGGAAAAUAUUUUACAGUUUUCACCUAAAAUGAAAACAUAAAAAGUUACAGCCAUUUUAAGAUAUUAAAAUAACGCCAUUCCUAAAGUGUCCCCAGAAGCAAAAAGGGUUUUACACCAAGAACAUCAGAAAACCAAUGAAUCACUCCAAAGCAAAAUUGAUACAAGUAUUUAUUUUUAACAACCAAUGGUAAAUUCUUGUUAAACAGAAAUAUACUUCUGUUUUAAAUUGUUGGAUGGGGGGGGGGAGGGGGGGAGAUUUUUCAAUUGUUCCCUUGAAAGAAUACUUCAGAAGAUAAAAGCACUUUACUGUUGUGGUGGUUGUAAUAUGUUCCAAUUUAUAUAUAGGUACAGUAAUUGUGUAAUAUAAAUAUUGAUGGUUUUAUAUAUAACACUGUGUAGUACUGACAUCGCCCUGGGCUGCACCCUUCUGAGCUCGAUGUGCCACCACCUCCCCCCUUACAAGCUGCGAGCCCCCUCCUUCCACCACCGCCCGCCAAAGUGUGUGUGUGUCGGCCCGCACCCGCCCGUGUGACGUCAGUGCUCUGCUCCCGAGAGUUGCCGAGCGAGGACGAAUGGGCAGUGAGUCGCGAGCGCUGCGAGAGGAAGGAGCUUCACGCACAUGUCAUCGUUUUCGGAGCUGUUUAGUGAUACAGGAGGAUACACACGGGUAACUUUUAACCACCUUUUCAGAGGAGGUAAACUGUUCCUUCUUUCUGUAUACUGCAUUUGGUAGGAGUAAUUACUUGAAACUGGAAUGGAAGUUAAUGAACAGAAAUAUGACACAAAGAUUGCGGACAUGCAUACAGCAACAAAAAACCCAUAUUUAGUCACUUUCGUCAACACAAGGUGAUGUGCCAAAUGAAUCUUUGUGAUCGUUCAGUAAUCCUUUAUAUUUUAUAAGUUAUAAUCAUAAAAAUAAAUAACGACAAAUUUAAUAUAUAUAUAUAUAAUAUAAUUUUGGCAAUCCUUGUAGAACAUUGACAUUUAGAAAUAGUGCAGCAUUUGCAUGAGUAAAAUAAAUUUGUGGUUAAAUUUUUACUGUUAAAUGUUAAGUCAGCUGAAUAUGUUUAAAGGGGUUAUUUUUUGGCAAAGGGGGGAGGAUAUACGUGGUGAUUUCCAUCAUUAAACAAAAAUAAAUAUAUAUACACAUACUAAGUAUCAUAUUAUAUGUUUUAAAAUCAUUCAGGUAAUAUUGUUUUAAUGUAUUAAAUUAAACUGCAACUUUUAGGUGGAAAAUUAUACAAAGUUAGCGCCAUGUUCACAAUGCUUUAAAGAGCCAAAAAAUGUUAAAUAUAUUGGAUGCCAUGUUUGUUCCAACAAAAUUGUUAUGGCUAAUAAAUUAUAGUUAUUUUUAAAGUUGCGAUCAUAACUUGUCAAUAAGUUUACAAAAUGUAUUCCAGGAUAGUUUCAUAGACGUUUAUGGGCAAGCGUUAGGUAUAGCACUGGCUACCAUGCUUACGUGUGCUAUAAUGUUAUGAUUUAAGAUUUUAGUUAUAUUUAUUUUUAUAAAAGUAUCUCUGAGCCCGUCUAUAAAAGCACUAGUGGCUAGCUGACGGAACUUAAUUGGUGCUUCUGGGUAGGUGAGGUGCACAAAUCGCUCGAUGUCAGCUUCGAAUUCUUGGAGGGUUUCCGAAGAUCUCUGUUGACGUGACUUCAGGGCUGUUCUGUACACCUCGCCCAUGUGUCGGUCGCCAUACCUCAGCUCAGGGGCCUCUACUAAUACCCCAUAUUCUUUCUGGUCUGUAACUGGUAUGGUCUGCAGCAGCUCUAGUGGAGAUCCUCGCAGAGCCAAGAUUAGUGCCGUAGCCUUUUCUACAUCGUACUUCCCUUCACUCGGAAGGGGGUGCGGCGUUUGUCCUAAAAUCGUUUGUCCUAAAGCGUUUAUCCUAAUUUCGUUUGUCCUAAAAAUUAGGACAAACGACGUUAGGACAAACGACUUUAGGACAAACGACAUUAGGACAAACGACUUUAGGACAAACGACGUUAGGACAAACGACUUUUAGGACAAACGACGGUUCCAGUAUCGAUAAAUCCUUACUCUGAGUUUUAGGACAAACGACUUUAGGACAAACGACAUUAGGACAAACGACUUUAGGACAAACGACAUUAGGAUAAACGACUUUAGGACAAACGACAUUAGGACAAACGACUUUAGGACAAACGACAUUAGGACAAACGACUUUAGGACAAACGACUUUAGGACAAACGACUUUAGGACAAACGACUUUAGGACAAACGACUUUAGGACAAACGACUUUUAGGACAAAUGAUUUUAGGACAAACGACAUUAUGAAAAACCAAGUUAGAACAAAUGACUUUAGGACAAAAAACUUUGAGUCAAACUAUUUUAUUUAAAAACCACAGAGCAUGUGAGAACUUACAGUAAAAGAAAACGUUUGAAAAAAUAAUGUUAUAUACUGGGGAAAUUACAUUCUAUGUAAAAAAAAAUUCAGCGUUUACGAUCGUUACAAUUUUUAGACAUCUAGGAAUAAACGACUACGGUUUCGACCUAAAUCUGUUUUUUUUUUUUGCCAUCUUGGAUCCGACAUAUUUAAAUAGAGCGCCCCACUCAUUAUGAUGAAAUUUUCGUCAUGACCGCCAUAUUGAAUUUUUCUGUUCCACUGGAGGCCGCCAUCUUGGAUGCCGUCGACUUUGUUUCUGUUCUUUGUUCCUAGAUAGUGCCAGCAACGCUCUUGAUUUUUUUUUGUUCUUCUGGAGGCCGCCAUCUUGGAUACCGUUGACUUAGUUUCUGCUGUUUGUUCCUAGAGAGCACCAGCCUAGCUCUUUUUUUUUUUUUUUUUUUUUUUUUUUGUUCUUCUGGAGGUCACCAUCUUGGAUACCAAGGACUUUAUUUCUGCUGUUUGUUCAUAGAGAGCGCCAGCGUCGCUCUGAUUCAUCACAUAAGCUCGAUGUUCCAUUACCUACCAUUGCUAUUAUGGUCCUUAUCGACAUAUUAAAUUUAAAUUUUUUAACAAAAUACAUUGGAAGCGCUGUGAUUCGAACCAUCGCAGCUCUGAUCUCUAGAUUGGAAAACAUACUCCUUUAACCGCACGGCCAUCGAGACAUUUACCAAACUGAGAAUAAAAAGGUAUAUAUAAAAAUAACAUGCAUAUUCGGAAAUGUAAUUUUUUUUUAUUUGAAGUAAUAAUAGCACCACCUGUUCGAGACAGAACCACCAUCAUGUAUUAAGACGUAACUGUAACAAUUAUCGUUAUGGUCACAAUCUUGAAUAUCCGUAAUUGUUUUGUUAGAAAAUCGGGAAAAAAUUUAAAAAUCAUUAAAAAAUUAAUCAAUCAAAUGAAAUAAUAAAAAUCUUAAAAAACACCGUUGCACUUUUCAUUACGGUCGAUAUCUUGAAAAUACAUAAUUUUAAUGCUAGAGAUUCGAAAAAAAAAUUACUUAUUAGAAUACUGAUUAAUUAGUUCGAUUCCUGUCCUUGAGUCGAAACUAUUAGAGCAAAAAAAACAGUGAAAUUUUCUUUGACCUUGAAAUAUGAUUUUACCUUGACGACCAUCAUGGAUCCGCCAUUUCUCGUUCAGUACAUGCUACCAGGAGCUACCACCUGCUAAAGGUCAUUGCCACCAUCUUGUUUUCGUCUGCUGGAGGACACCAUCUUGUGUGUGUACUCGUCUUAUAGACAUUACCAUCAUACUUGUCUAAGUUUUACUAAGGUUAAUUCUACUACAGGUUAGGAAGAAAACGGGUUUUCUUAUGGGCGAGUUUGGCACAGGGAAAAAUUCUGCCGCUAGGUGCGCUGGCGUAGCGAAAGGGUAACACUUUACACACUGCCAUUGAGGGUGAACGUGAGAAAACCGCAUUGAAGUUAAAUAAAAUAGUCGGUAUGGUAUUUAGUUAUGUGCUUUUUGUUUGCAAGAAUUAUAUUGAACAAGUCUUCCGUUAAGAACGUGUAAAUUUCACAACUUUGUGCCUUUUGGGCACGUAAAUAAAAGCUAUACUGCGUUUAUGUUUCGCCGCGAGCAAUCUGCAUAUGAAGGCUGUUGAUGGUGAAAGAAACAAUUCUGGCUGAUAUUUGGUGGAUAAUUCCCAUGUGUCAAUAUACUCCAAGAAACCAAGAAGUGUCUACAUAAGAAAUAAUCAUUAAGUAUUUUUCAUGUUCCAAUACAGGAAAAUCUUUAUUGUUAAGUGCAGAUUAUGAAUAGAAGCAAAUAUUUCUUUUAAUGUUAAAUUAUUACUGUAUUGUUUUUAUAUCAGUUAUUAUAAAAAUUAACUAAGCAAAUAAUUCUGAGUAGCCUAUUUGUUAUGUACAGACAUAAUAUUGAAAUAUUUCAAAAUUUAGAGUUUUACCUUUUCAUCAUCUGAUCCAACAGUCAGGCCUUUCCAUGGUUUGUUGUUGUCUAGUAUGGAAUAAACUUGUGCAACUUUUUCUAUGUAAUUUACGGUGCCAGAAAUAUUUUCUAUACCAGGCUUGUUACUGUAAAACUUCAAAGCUGCAGCUGUUUCCAUUGUGAAAAGCUACAAGCAUGAAAAUUUCAUUAUAAUUUUUACAGCAAUAAGAAAUUAUUUUUUUUUAAGGUGAGUUUCAUGUAAGUUUCUAACCAGUUUUAAUCAUGUAAUUACCCUCAAUGUAUUGUGUUUGUGUGAUACAUAAAUUAAAUUAUUAAGCUAGGUUGUUUGUAUAAAAAAAUGUUAAAUAUAAAACUAUACUGGUGACAUACAAUUUAUUAAUUUUUUUAGUUCUUAAAUAUAAUGUUUUCAUCAGUGAUUAUUGGAUUAUUUCAGUUAAUGCAUAUGCCCAAUACAAAUAACUUAAUAAUUUAACGUCUGGUGUAGCCUAGUAAGUUGAAUUUUAAUUUGUAGUAGUAUCAAAAUAAUUAAGUAAAACUUUUGUUGUCUCCCCAUGUUACAAAUAUAAAUAAUUAAUGGUAAAAAAAUAAACUGUCUAUAAAAUUA